rnacentral:rRNA from 1 species
CUUAGCAUGAAGUGAAGCACAUACACCUGCUGAAUUUAAGCAUAUAAGUAAGUGGUGGAAAUUAAACCAAAUGGGAUAUCUUUAGUAAUUGCGAAUGAACAAGGAUAUGCUUAGCUUGACAAAUGGAGCUAUUGGCUUUGAAUUGUAUUGUGGAAAUGUAUUACCAACAGAGGUGCAGGUGCCAGCCUAUUGAAAUAAAGCGUCAAUGAGGGUGAGAAUCCUGUUUGUCAUGUGCAGCCCUUUGUGCACGGUGUAUAUUUGCUGAGUCACACUCCUUGGCAUUGGAAUGCAAAGUGGGUGGUACGUUUCAUGUAAAGGUAAACAUGCAAUUGAGACUGAUAGCACACAAGUACCAUGAGGGAAAUAUGAAAAGGACUUUGAAAAGAGAAUUAAAUGAGUUUGUAUUUGCUGAACACAAAGUAAACAGACUUGAUUUGCUUGGUGGGAGUGUUGCACUUGCUUGACAAGAGCUUUGGGCUGUGGGUGUAAUGAUUCUUUCUUUGCAUGCCAGUUUCUAUUUGUACAUCUGAUUACCUUUGCACAUGAAUGAUAAGUCUCCUGUGGGGGGUGGAUUGCAUGUGCAUGUAAUGAUUUGUGUUUUGAUAAAUGUGUCUGGUGUAUGUGUGUGUUCCUGUGCUUGGGGAUGCUUCCUUCCUUGGACUUACAAGCCCUGACACACACAUGCUGGCAAAAUGCUUCCGCUUGACCCGUCUUGAAACAUGGACCAAGGAGUCUAACAGAUGUGCAAAGUUUGAAGGUGGUAUACCUUUGUGUGCAAUGCAAGUGUCAGCUGGGAUAUGUGCACCAGCACCCAAUUAAUUAGCGGACAGAGGUUUGAGUUGGAGCAUAUCUAUUAGGACCCGAAAGAUGGUGAACUAUGCCUGAACAGAAUGAAUUCAGAGGAAACUCUGAUGGAGGCUCGUAUCGAUACUGACGUGCAAAUCGUUCGU